AAAUUUGUUAUCGUAUUUCAAUAAUAGUGAAUUCGUCGCAUUGUAUAUAAACUUUCAUUCAUUAACUGUUAAAUUUAAAUUAAACUUUGACACGACAUAUAUACAUAUAUAUGGGAUAUCUUCAAACUACUGAUAUUACAGUUGGAUUUCUCGUGCAAUUGAAAUGAACAUAAGUGUUCUUUGUAUUAAACUAUUGGAUUAUGUUUAUAAACAGUUUAUACAUUGAAGUUUUUAAUAAAAUUUGUUGGGUGUAGAUAAUUAUCGCGGUUUCAUUCUCAUUGAAUAGUUGAAUUGAAUACUGGCUGAAAUUGUUGGAAUAACCAAAAAAAAAUAUUUCGGAAAACAAACUGUUAAUGGAAUAAUUACAUAUAUAUGUAUAUGUAUUUCUGUGUAUACGUGACUUGAAAAAGAGUUUAACGAACUCGUAGGUAAAUUUUACGAGCGACGCCUAAAAUUAACUAUAACGGGAAUUUAAAUGAAUUAUAUUGAUUCGAUAAAUUGUUCGUUUUAACUAAAAUGUUUUGUUGCAUAGUUCUGUUUGUUGACAAUAAAUAAUAAUUACUGGAGUGAAAUUGAACGUAAUUGUUAAGUUUGUAUAUCGAUUGUGUAAAUAUAAAUAAUUUAAUUAACCGCUGAAUUGGUGGUAUAAAAAAAGAUCAAAGUGGUGACGGGAAUAGGAGCUAUCGUGUAUUGAUAAAAGAAGACUGCAAGUUAAUUAGUUUUAAUGGGUUACGCUUGGAACACUAAGGAACGAACAAUAAAUACAUUGAAAACGACGUUAUUCUAGUAAAGAUGUCGAAGAAUUUGAUAGUAGUGAAGUAUUGGUGACAGCAAAUAAUGUUUUAGUGUAAUAUAUAGUUGAACUUAUUCUAAUGUGAUUUUUUUAGAUAAAUUUUUAAUAAUUAGUUAUUGAAAUUAGAAAUUUUUUUUAUUGAUAAGUAAGUGCUCGGUAUAUCUGAACAAUGUUCUAGAUAUGUGUAUAUGAUUACACUGAAAGUGGAUGUGAUAGAAAGGAAACGUAUCUGUGGAGCAUAAUGGCACUUAUAUUUGCUGUAAUUGUUAUUCUUGUUACAACGGUUAUGUCUUUACCUCCGGUCAUCAGAAUUGGUGCAAUAUUUACGGAGGAUCAGAAAGACAGUCCCUCAGAGUUGGCAUUCAAGUACGCGGUAUAUAGGAUCAACAAGGAUAAAAGUAUUCUACCGAAUACAACACUUGUAUAUGAUAUUCAAUACGUGCCAAAAGACGACUCUUUCAGAACAUCCAAAAAAGCUUGCAAGCAAUUAUCGAGAUCCGUUCAGGGAAUAUUCGGGCCAUCGGAUCCGUUAUUGGGAGCGCAUAUUCAAAGCAUUUGUGAAGCUUUAGAUGUACCACAUCUCGAAGCCAGAAUGGACUUUGAACCUGCAUUCAAAGAGUUCAGUAUUAAUCUUUACCCAGCUCAAGAACAUCUGAAUAAAGCAUUCAAGGAUUUGAUGUCUUUUCUAAACUGGACCAAGGUUGCUAUUAUCUACGAAGAGAAUUACGGAUUAUUCAAGCUGCAAGAUCUCGUGAAAUCACCGCCGUCAUCUAGAACAGAAAUGUAUAUUCGGCAGGCAGGUGCUGGAACAUAUCGACAAGUACUUAGAGAAAUUCGACAAAAAGAAAUUUAUAAAUUGAUAGUGGAUACCGACCCUGCUCAUAUGCAGUAUUUUUUUCGAGCGAUCCUCCAAUUGCAAAUGAACGACCAUCGAUAUCAUUACAUGUUCACGACUUUUGAUAUCGAAACAUUCGAUCUCGAAGACUUCAAGUACAACAAUGUCAAUAUGACAGCAUUUCGAUUGGUUGAUUUGGAAGAGCAGAAGGUAGCAGAAGUUCUGAAGCAAAUGGAGCGUUUCCAACCCAUUGGACAUGCGAUUCUCAAUCGCACUGGAGUGAUCCAGGCUGAACCUGCUCUCGUAUAUGACAGCGUUCAAGUUUUUGCUCAUGGCCUUGCUUCUCUAGACCGAAGUCACGUACUACGACCUGUAAAUUUAUCCUGUGAAAAGGAAGAGCCCUGGGAUGACGGCCUAUCACUCUACAAUUACAUCAAUACUGCUGGACUUAAUGGAUUGACUGGUCGUAUCGAGUUCAAUGAAGGUAAAAGGAACAAUUUCAAAUUGGAUCUUCUAAAGCUGAAAAAAGAAGAAUUGGUUAAAGUUGGGGAAUGGCGGCCAGGUUUAGGCAUAAACGUUACUGACUUAGAAGCCUUUUACGAUAAAACUUACGCAAAUAUUACACUCGUCGUAAUGACACGUGAGGAAAAGCCAUAUGUUAUGGUAAGAGAAGAUAAAAACCUAACAGGAAACGCACGAUUCGAGGGCUUUUGCAUAGAUUUACUGAAGUGGAUAGCUGGUCAAGUGGGGUUUCAAUAUGUUAUUAAACUAGUACCUGAUCACAUGUAUGGUGUUUAUGAUCCAGAAACGAAAGAAUGGAAUGGAAUUGUACGCGAAUUGAUGGAAAAGAGAGCUGAUCUUGCCGUUGCUUCUAUGACCAUAAACUACGCUAGAGAGAGUGUUAUUGACUUCACAAAGCCGUUCAUGAAUCUAGGAAUCGGAAUACUUUUUAAGGCCACCAAACGCGCGCCUUCUCGACUCUUCUCAUUUAUGAACCCUCUCGCAGUGGAGGUUUGGUUAUCGAUGCUGGGUGCAUAUGUGGUCGUUUCUGUAUCAAUAUGGAUUGUGGCGCGUCUUUCACCUUAUGAAUGGGUAGAACCGCCACCAUGUCCGAGCUGCAAGUGUCCUUUGCAGGGCAGUCAUGUCAGCGCCCUGGAACCAGAUAGUGAUGACAUCCCUUUGCCGAGAACAGUCAACGACUUCAGUCUCUCCAACAGCUUUUGGUUUACAGUUGGCUCUCUAAUGCAACAAGGAAGUGAUCUCAAUCCCAAGGCAACUAGUACAAGAAUAGUCGGAGGCAUCUGGUGGUUUUUCACACUUAUUAUCAUAUCUUCAUAUACGGCAAAUCUAGCAGCAUUUUUAACCGUCGAGAGGAUGAUAACUCCUAUCGAAAAUGCAGCUGACCUCGCUGAACAAACCGAAAUAUCAUAUGGAACUCUUGAAGGUGGAAGUACAAUGACAUUUUUUCGGGAUUCAAAAAUCGGAAUUUAUCAAAAAAUGUGGCGAUUUAUGGAAGCAAAGAGAUCUACAUUAUUCGUUUCGUCGUAUGAAGAAGGAAUAAAACGAGUCUUAGAAGGAAACUACGCAUUUUUAAUGGAAUCAACGAUGCUCGAUUAUGCUGUACAACGUGACUGUAACCUUACGCAGAUCGGUGGAUUAUUGGACAGCAAAGGAUAUGGAAUAGCAACUCCAAAAGGCUCUCCGUGGCGGGACAAAAUAUCUCUUGCAAUCCUCGAGCUACAGGAGAAAGGCGUGAUACAAAUUCUUUACGACAAGUGGUGGAAAAACACAGGAGAUGUAUGUAACAGGGAUGAAAAGAGCAAGGAAAAUAAAGCAAAUGCACUCGGAGUCGAGAACAUUGGCGGAGUAUUUGUUGUUCUUCUCUGUGGUCUUGCGCUCGCUAUCCUCGUCGCCAUUCUCGAGUUUUGUUGGAACUCCAAGAAAAAUACUCAGUCCGAUCGGUAAAGCCGUCGCAGAAACCUUCAUGACGAAAGCUGUGAAUGAAGAAAAGCAAGCAAUGCCAACAACUGAAAAUGAAGAUAUAAAUCAUCUAACUGUAUCGGGAGAUGGAACCUGGCAAAAACGGGGAUAUACAUCGUCAUUUGGAGUUUCUUCUAUAAUUGGCUAUUUUACUGGAAAGAUUCUUGACAUAAACAUUAAAAGUGCAUAUUGUAAGCUAUGUGAGUAUUGGAAAAAAAAAACAAAUACUGUUGAGUUCGAGGAAUGGUAUCAAUCGCAUGAAGAUGUGUGUUCUGCUAAUCAUCAAGGGUCUUCUGGGAAAAUGGAGGUGGAUGCGAUGGUCGAAAUGUUUUCGUAUUCUGAAACUAAAUAUGGAGUUAAGUAUGCCAACUAUAUUGGUGAUGGUGACUCCAAGACCUAUUCAGGAAUUAUAAAAUCAGAUCCUUACGAAAAUACAACUGUAAAUAAAAAGGAAUGUAUAGGGCAUGUCCAAAAGCGGAUGGGGAGUCGAUUACGUACGCUGAAGAGUAAACAAAAAGGUCUUGGUGGUCGAGGUAAGCUCACAGGAAAAUUAAUAGACAAACUAACUGUGUACUAUGGUUUAGCAAUACGCCGGCAUUGUGAUUCUAUUGAAAAUAUGAAAUCUGCUAUAAUGGCAACCUUUUAUCACUACGGCUCGAGUGAUGAAAAACCGAAUCAUGAUAUGUGUCCAAAAGGCGAAGAAUCUUGGUGCUCUUACCAGCGCGCUGAAGCAAGAGGAGAGCUUGAUACCUUUUCUCACGAUUAUUCUCCUUUACCUUCUGAUGUUUUAAAAGCUAUCAAGCCUAUAUACGAAGAUCUUAGUAAUGAAAAUUUACUUUCAAGAUGUGUAGGUGGAUUCAAUCAGAAUAAUAAUGAAAGCUUUAACCAACUAGUAUGGAAAAUAUGCCCAAAAACGUCUUGAUGAAUACACUAGGACUUAAUUGUGGGCCUAAUUCUCAUCGGUAUGCAGAAAGAAUGGAUGCUGCACGUAUCAAAGUAGCAGAUAAGCGCGCUAAUGAUAACACCCGAGAAGGUCGAUUGCAACGUAGGCACCAGCAAAUCGAUAUUUUGGAAGCUGCUAUGUCGGCUGAAGAGCUAUUAUAUGGUCCAGGAAUAGAUGACUCAGUAUGAAUCUCCAAGGACUUAUGAUGAUCACCGCAAAGGACUUCGGGAGGAACGGGCUCUACAAAAACAGCGAUAACUUUUUGAAUUAUUAAUUUUUUUUUUUGAAAUUUUCGUGAAGUCAAAUCGAAACGUGUUCUAAUAAAGCUAUGUUUUUAUUUUUGUCAAAUAAAGUAAUUAACUACAAAAAAAAAAUUAUUGAAAAUCAUCAUUUUUUCAUACCCCUGAGUACCCCUAACCCCUUAAUGCAUGUUUCGAAAAUUAUUCUGCAGCCGAGUUAUCGCAACUUCUUGCGCUUUAAAAACAAACAAAAUAUUACAUAAGUGCAUUAUUGUGUAGCUUUUGAAUUUGCACAUGCUAAUUAUUUUAUACAAUCGCAUGAUUUUUAAAUUCUUAUGCAUUUUUUAAAUUAUUUUUAUUGAUUUCUUUGUCUGUUACUGUACACUUGCAUCUGUGUCUCUAUCACGUUGAUGGUAACCGCCGUAUUUGUAUUGUAAUGCACGACAAACCACAUCUCUACAUACCAAUGAGAUUGUGAUACAACAAAACUUGAAAUGGUCACAAAAUGAUGCUCAAACAACGCGACUACAACUACAACAAAUGUUCUACCCUCACUAUUCUUACAUUAAUCAUAAUACUAUGUACCAUCCUGUGAUUUUGUAACAUCUUUGUUCGCUACGUGAUUCACCUCACAAAUUUACCUACACAAAUUCCACGGUCCAACACUUGUUUGCAUGAAAUGGUCAUGUGACUUAUCAUCUGGCCAACUUGUAAAACAGUCUCUGUGUGCUGAAAUGGCGUCGGAAUUGCGGUUUGCACUGCGAUGUGGUUCACAACAACGUCCAGUUACAAAGAAUCGAGAUCAUGGGAGUUUGGAUCCUACUUCUUGUGAACGAUGCAGUCCGCAGCCAUCA